AGGGGCGUUUGCCUUGCCGCUGCGCGUCGGCCGAAGGAAGCGGGUGGUGUCUGUGCUUCACCUCGAGUCACAGCAGUGGCUUUUGUUGUAAUUAAAAGUGUUGUCCUUACCAAGCCCCCCAAAUAGAGGACAGGAACCAAAACUCCUAAGCAAGUGUGCGGCUCGUUUUAGGACCACACGAACUCCGGCAAAUACUGAAGUAUUACGAGUUUUAAAAUCGCGAGUAUUUUCAGAUGGAGGGAACUCAAAGAACGAAUGUGGGAGAAAAGUAAGGGGAGGAGGAAGGUUCUCCUCUUCACUCCCUGGUAUUUCUUGCAGAAACAGACAAAGAUUUAAAAUUUUCUGCCAGCAACCUAGUGCAAAAAGCAGUGAAAGAAAGUGGGACCGUAUGCAGUAUGUGAGCAAAGGAGUUGGAGCGGGGGAGGCAGAUACUAUUUUGGCCACACCGUUCAAGAUGACAGAAGCCUCAUUCUUUUCUUCUAGAUUUCACUUUAGCCUAUAACAGAGGUAACUCACAGGGCAAGGGAACCAAGAAGGAGAAUGGACAAAACUAAUACCCAGAGAGGGAUACGACAGUGACACAAUUCUGUGACUUCUAGGACAAGUGGAGGUCUCCAUUUAAAAACCACUCUAAUGUUGAAUGAAUCUUUAACAGCAGCAAAAUAUCUUGAGGAAAUGGGGGCUUUGGUUGUUCCUGCUGCUUCCUGGCUUCCUGUACCAGAGACAUCAGACAAAGGCUCAUUUUUCAUUUCCAUAUACAACACUGAAGACAAGAUCUACAAUAAAAAAUAAGGCAACACCCACCCCCACCCCCAAA